UACAGGGUUGAAUAAAAUCUGGCACUAGAUGCACCCUGUCUCCUUAUAUAAGAGGGGGUGGCAGACAAGCCCUAUCAGCACAUCUCAGAAAAUGGGAAAUCAAAUCACCCAGGGGAUGACAGAGAAUGACCAGAGGGAGAGAAAGUUCCAGUUCUGUCCACAAUGCACUACCAGCCCCAUUGGGAAAAGAGCAGAUUUAACAGACCUUACCAAGACAAGAAUUGUUUUUCGUAGAAGGAAAUCAAAGGAACAAACAAGAGGCAGUGACUACCAGAGACGUCGCCUUUUGGUCUAGGAAAACCCAAGCAGACAGUGUCUACAUCCAUCAAAGCCUGAGAGAGCAAGAGGCAGUGUCUUCCAGAAGUCAAUGUGGGCAGCACCAAACCAUCCACCAUGUAUCAGAGAAAAGUCAGACAGCUGGAAGGCUCUAUUCCCAAGCCACUCUCCAGUCCCCAAACAUGUCACCAUCUUUCAUGCCUCCUUACUAGGCCCAAGCUGUCCCCUUGACCAGGAAUGUCCCCCACCCUCAUCCCAUCCCCAUUGCUCCCUCACAAUAAAAUCUGGGCCCAGCAAAUGGCCCAGCUCCUCUUCUCUAAAUGCUUCUUUAAUGUCUCUGAGAAGGAGUUCCUUCCUCCUUCACUGACAAUCUCUUCUACCACACAAAGGAGUGGAGGGAGCUCUUUGAAGACAAGGGAUGCUUCCUUAUUUGAAUUUGAAUACUGGGCCCAAGCACGUGCCCCUGGCAUCUGCAAUACACACAUACCAAGGUGAAUGGGGAGAUAGAUGUCAAGAUCCUUGAGCUCUGCAAAUCUUCAUUGCCAACUUCAACUACUCCAAAAUAAAGUCAAAUUUUUAAAAGUAAA